UUUUUUAAAGGUGAAAGGGCGUAUGUCGAGAUACGCCCUUUCAACUUUAGGAUACCAACUUUUUUUUUUUUUUCACAGAUUUUUACGUUUCAGACAAUUUCGAACCGAAUGACAAAAAAACAUUUUUUUAUACGCCCUUUCAGCAUAAAUCCCUAUUAACCCUUAGCUAUAAGUCCUUUUACCUUUAAGCACGCGAAUUAGUCAGAUAAAUUUUCA